GCUCCUUUAGCUCAGUUGGCCAGAGCAGCUGACUCUUAAUCAGCGGGUCGGGGGUUCGAGUCCCCCAAGGAGCA
rnacentral:tRNA from 2 species